rnacentral:tRNA from 1 species
GGGGAGGUGGCUCAGAGGUUAAGAGCACUGGCUGCUCUUCCAGAGGUCUUGAGUUCAAUUCCCAGCAACCACA